UAUCGUCUCAUCUCGAUGAAAAGAAUGAGAAGAAUCUGAAAGAAAACAAGAUGAAGAUUCUAAUUGUAAAUUUGAAAAAGUCAGGUCCAUAAAAACAUGUUAUUACAAUGAGAAUAAAACCAUGUUCUGGAUUAUAAGACAUUGUACUAAACUCUUUUUCCUCUUAAAAAUCAAAGGAUGACAGGGGAGCUGAUCAUCUCAAGCCCAGCUGAUCUGCAGCUUUCCCUACUCCUUCACUGCCAUCAAAAGGCACCAGAGAAAGGCACUGGAACCUGAAAUUCCCAGCAUGGAUGAACAUCGGAGAAACAGACGAGGAAAGAAAUCAAGUGUGAAAGACAUCAGCUUCCAUUUUUACAAAAUUGUAAUGGUAAACAGAACUACUAAAAAGUUGGUGAAACAAACAAAACAAAACAAAAAAACCAAAGAGAAUUUAGGAUGUGAGGUAAUUACCUGGAAAAUUACCCCUCAGAAAUAACAUGCAGCACAUAUCAGAGAAACCCUUCAGAUAAGAGGGAGCUCAUGGUAAUCAUGACACUAUCAAACUUCAAAUUGUUCUGUUUAAAGAAAAACCAUCACUACUGGUUUUGGUGAAACAGGGUUUCACCAGGAGAAUAAACUAUUGCCACAGAGCGCUGCAUUACACAAUAGUAGUUGAGAUUUCUAUCAUUUGGAGAUUAAAAAACUGAGGUUCCAGUUUUCACCUAGAUUAUGAAUUUAAACUACGAACCUAUAAACACCCAGUCAUACACUUUAUAUUUAAAAAAUGCAACAUAAAGGAACCUUAUAUCACACAAAGCGAUAUACAUUUUCUUACACUUAUAUAGUAUUUUAUAACUGUUGGCAGGAAAAUCAUAAUUUUAACUAUUCUAUUUUUAUGAAUGGAAUAGCUUAAUCAAUUUUUUUUCUUAUCUAUAGAAAUACAGACACACACACAUAUAUAUUUUCAUAUACAUAUUAUUGUUUGGUUUCUUUUCCAUCAGUUCAAGAAGAUGCUUGACACCAUCUUAACACCAAGAAAAUGCAGGUUUUGAGGGACUGAGCUUCCUGCUAUAACCUCUGCUUUAGUAGACCACACAACCAGCGUGUAGCCAUUUACAGCCUCCCUAUUGCCCUACAUACAGUAGUUGUUUCCACUGCUGUUUCCCAAAAAUUAUCUAAUGCCCAAGUCCAAUUGCUCCAGUCUUGCUACUCUUACAAUCCAAGGCCUGACAGCACACCUCUGUCCACGCUGGGCACCAUCCUGCCACCCUCCUGUCUUCUGGAACAGGAUUUUGCUGUUCCUCCGCUCCUAGCACAGGCCAGAGAAGGCCAUCCUGAGCUGCCCUGACUACUUAGAGACUGGCAGCAUGUGUACACUGGCUUUCUCCCAUUAGAAGCAUGUGAGCAAAUAUAUUAUGGGGCCUGCCAGCAACAAAAAAUCCCAAAUAACAAAGUUUAAUGGAAAUCAGUAGUAGAAAAACAUGUUGAGAAAAAGGAUCAUUACAUUCUUGUUCCUUGAUGGAACCAUUCCCUCUGGAGACUAUUUAUCCUCAGUGGUAUCUCUGCAUUUGCCAAAUAACUGUAAAGAACUUUCCUGCUGUUCCACCGGAAAAUAAACUUCUUUUUAAAGUUGUUUCUUAACAAAACAUAAAAUUGGCUUAUCCUGAACCAAUUUUUCCUUCUUAUAAACAUUUUAAAACAAUGUUGUCAACUAUUCAGAUAGUCACAGUCAGUCCUACAGCAGGAAUUACUACUGCCAGACCGUCAGACAACUUUUAUAAAUUGAAGAAUAGAUAACUUCCUAAUGAGGGUAACCAAACAUUUCAGUAGUCUAGCAAUGUACAGUUCAAAUUAAUAUGGGUGGGUAAAGCACUGCUUUGAACAUGCAUAACUGCUGUUCAAUAAUCUGAUUUGAUCUUUUGGGAUCAUCAUCAGUAUUUUGGUAUUUCUUCAGUAACAAACAGAAGGAACUGCAUGGACUGUUUUACACUACCUUCAAAUUUCAGACAAGAACAUUGAUACCCCAGUAUUAUUCCCAAGCCACUGUAUCGCAUAAAAACGAUGAGCUGCAGUCUUUGGGAAAUGUAAUGAUUGCUGAGUUGAUUACUGAGCCAAAGUCUAGCCACACUUGUACACAGAAGAUAACAGCAAAGCUCCCUCAAGUUUAUGUUCUGUAAGCAGAGGUUAGCAAAAAGAAGAUUUGCUUCUUCCAUGGUGAAAUUUUUAUUUCUACUCAGCAGAGAUAAAGAAAAGAAUUCCUACUUCAGCUUCCCAACCUAAAACAGAACAGCUCAAAACAAGAAAUUAAGUCACCAAAAGCUGUUGUAAGGCCCAAGACACCAUCAGAGCCAACCUGUUUGGGUGGGAAAAGGGAGAACAUGGCUACUGACUCUUCAAGCAGCAGCUAAAAGAAACAAAGGAUAACCUAUGCCUGUGCCAUUUCGGAGGCAUCUGGCACUUCCGCCUUGAAACAAUUCUACCAGUAAUUCUGAUGUAAUAUUUUCUGAAGUCCACCAAUUACAUCACAAAGAAAUAUCAUGACAAAUAGUAUCAGCAGCCUUAAAAAAAAAAAAAAA